AGCCACUACACUACUGUGCCUGCCCUGCACUAGAGCUGACUCAGCAUUUGUGUUCAUGGGAGGGGCGGGGAGUCCAGGGCAAGCGCCGUGACUGGAGCUGGAGAUCACUGGGGAUGGUGGAGCAGUGGCAGAUCUUUCUUGGGGAAGGCGAGGUCCUGCACCCCCUAGGCAGAUGCUCCUGGAGUAUGCUGGAAUGUGACAGGAGGGGCUAUGCUUCCCCUUCCUACCCGUCACUGCUAAACUCACCCAGUUUACCUGUCUAACAUCUACUACACGCACCCCGUUUACCACUAUAAAAUUCACUACACACACUGCUCCCUGAAAAUUGAAUGUCACCUCAUUCAGCAGCCGUAUACUACUUAGACAUCUGUCUUAGAGAAGAGGAAUAUGUGACCCUGCAGUGUCAUGGAGAAACACGCUAGAUCUUUCAGGAUUUGGGUGGGACGAUUGUGGUCUGAGUGUUCCUACCUCAAUUCUAAGAUACUGGACCUCAUCCAAACAGAGCCACAGGAGGGCGAUGACAAGAUGUUUUGUUGGCAUAGAUGCUUGCCUCUAAUGAUCAGCUGCAGAAGGCUCUGCUGGCAAAUACUACUCCCAAAUACAGAGAAGUGUCCUGAAUUAGGACCGAGACUGAUCCAUAAAUGUCCCAAGGGAAACUGUCUUUGGUCCACUGUCGUCACCGGUUCUAUUUCAGUGGGCACUGGAGAGCAGACACCGGGUUAUGAGAUGCCAGGAAUUCCUCACCCACACGCUCCCCCUUCCUCAAACGUGAGCAUUUGUGCUUGUUACAUAGCGUACUCAUGUGGCAUUGCUAUAAUAGUCUUAUUAACCAUGUCAGCUCUCUAGGUGUAUGGGAAAACAGCCACCACAGAUACAAUUUCAAGCAGCUAUGUAUUGGAUCUCAUCACACAUGGAUCUUAUUUAAUCUGCUCUGAUCUUACAGAGAACCACUUACAGCAUCAGUUCCACCUACUUUUAGAUAAGUGGCCAAAUAGGUUCUUAUAUUUAGACAGGAAUGGCUGUCACCGCCUGCAUUAGUCAUAAAUAAAAUUUCAGA